rnacentral:rRNA from 1 species
GUAGGGAAUAUUGGGCAAUGGAUGCAAGUCUGACCCAGCCAUCCCGCGUGCCGGAAGAAGGCCCUCAGGGUUGUAAACGGCUUUUGACGGUGAAGAAUCGACAGGAUGCGUCCUGUUUUGACGGUAGCCGUUGAAUAAGCACCGGCUAACUCCGUGCCCGCAGCCGCGGUAAUACGGCGGGUGCGAGCGUUGUCCGGAUUUCUUGGUUUUAAAGGGUGCGUAGGCUGGAAGGUCAGUCAGCGGUGAAAAGCUGUCGCUUAACGAUAGUCUUGCCGCAGAUACUUCCUUUCUUGGAUGAGGAGGAGGCCACUGGAACGGAUGGUGUAGCGGUGAAAUGCAUAGAUAUCAUCCAGAACACCGAUUGCGAAGGCAGGUGGCUGUACCUUAAUCGACGCUGAUGCACGAAAGCAUGGGGAGCAAACAGGAUUAGAUACCCUAGUAGUCC